rfam:Clostridium sp. CAG:448 genomic scaffold, scf171
CCAUACCAGCCGGGGUAGUAGCGGGGCCCUGUACCCGAAAUCCGCUACAGCGGGGGUGGAUUCCUUGUUUGAGGACCGACCACUUACGAGUUGAGUCGCAGUCGCUGUGUUGAGAAGUGGGUCUUGCGCAAUUGGCAGCCGUGAACCAUGUCAGGUGGGGGACCAAGCAGCAUUAAGCGGUGUCGUCAAUGUGACGCGAGGCAGCCUGCUUUGAGCAGGGAAUGCGAAGAUCGUGUGGGUGUGAAGUACGAUCCAAGGUGUAUGG